ensembl:lncRNA
GUUCCGCUGUUGUUCCACACGAAACGGAAGUGGCUGGUGUGGCGUGGAUGUUGUGAUUUACGGGCUGCAACGGAGAAUCCAAGGAAAGGGGAGAUUGGAAGUGCGGAGGAAGUUAAGUGAUCAACCUUUUGUAUGUUGUGUUUACAUCUUAUUGUGGAUUGAGUUGAAGGAGCGAUCCUAUGUUUGGAAGGUCCCUGAGUGAAGGAGAUCAUUGAAUUCGUAUUGGGAGAGGACAACACUGUGUACUGUGUUGAUAGUAGUGCCUUGCGUUGGAGAUCGCUGGGAAAGACGGAGAGACUCCGGUGUACGAUAUAUACGCCUGCUGUGGUCUGCCCCCUGCCUUCGUCCAUCUGACACGCCCCGCCAGGACUCUGAGCCCGAAACGGGAAUACACCACGGAUCUUCUUUCACUGAGUGUGUGGAGUGCGGUGAGUGCUGCUAUAUUGAAGUGUACACACGAGAAGAAUUGUAGUGCCUUUGUGGUGUGUGGUGUUUGUCCGUGGUUGUGUCCCCGGUCGUAGGAAGAGGACUGACAGAGAGGAGCAGUGUAUUGGUGGCAACCACAGUCUUUACCUUAAGUAAGCUGGAGCUUGGACGUGUUGGAGGCGCCUCUGGAGGAGGUUGGAUGACGUCGCCCACACAGCGAUCUCUCGAAGGACAACAGCCGAUCCUCCCCCGUGUGCCCCCUUGCCAAGCUGGGCGGGAAGCCCAGUAUUGUCUGCAGUCUCACCUGUAAGGCCCACCAGCCGUCAGUCAUCGACCAAACCCGUAUCUGCUUGGAAUACCGACCUCUGAAUAUCUUCAGUGAACCCCUGCACGCUAACAGCCCAGCCCUGUGAAUACUCACCUGUGUAUUGAAUUCUGUUCUUACCUGUGAGCUAGAACCCCUGCACACUAACAGCCCAGCCCUGUGAAUACCCACCUGUGUAUUGAACACUGUACUUACCUGGGAGCUAGAACCCCUGCAUGCUAACAGCUCAGCCUUGGGUCUUGAAGUCCACCCCCCCCCCCCCCACCCCCCAGAGCCAGAAAGUCCCUGCACGUCAACUGCCUAGCUCUUGCUUUAAACUUACCUGGAGUGGAGUCAGCUGGAAAUUAAGGGCUGAAGUGGAGUGUGUCGAGGAAGGGCUGAAGAGGAGUGUUAUCGAGGACUGGAAUCCGUAUCUGUGGACAAAAAUAGUUCGAGUCAUUAGUAGUUUUAAAGUUUCCCCUCCCC